CGUUUAGUUCUACUGUCAUGACAUACCAGUCGCAUCACAGAAGAUCUGGAAGACGCCUGUGGCACUGGGUGGACGACUUCUGUCCUGAAGACGUGCCCUUGAACGUUUAAGCCUUUUUCAGCCAGGCUCUUGAAACGUGUUGCAGACACUGGCAGAGGAGAGCUGUGUGUGGCUACCUGAGGGCUGACUUUGCAUGGAUCUGGUCGGAUGGGUUCGGUAUGUCGCUUCCACUGUUCUGCACACCAUCAUAGAAACCACAGCGACGUCGCCGGCCCGACACCAUCAGUUCUCCACUGCGCGGUGAGCGUGCGUGUAGAUGAUAACCUCCCGAGUGCAGGACAGCUCUCGCCCGGGCCCUUGGCCAGCAUUCAGAGCGCAGAAAACCGUUACAAGAAGGGGAGAGGAAAAGCAAGUGACUGCUCAUCAAGGGACAGGUUUUUUAAUCAUACUUGAGAAGAAUUUUUCCUAGAGGACAGUGGCUAAAUUGAGUGUGCGUUGCCUAAUUAUUCGGGGACUCCAAAAGUGAUGCUUUUAAGUCAAAAACUUUAGAAAUUCAGCCUAAGUGCAGACCACCCUUCCUCCACGGUGAAACUUAAGGAAAAUGAGAGCACAGAGGUUGAGCCCAAGAGUGUCUUCAAGGGGAAACCCCUGGGUGGCACAUUCAGGCCACCGGUUUUAUGCAGCUGAGACACUGGAGGAUGGACUGAAUGCCCCUCUCUGAGUUCGUCCCCGGAGGAGGCGAGGUCAGGGGUGAUUAGAGGAAAGCGUCACAUGGAGAAGAGGAUGGGAGAGAGUCUAAAGGAAGGAAUGGAAGUUUCUCAACGGGAUGUGAUGCUUAGAAACAGGUUCCAUUCAAUGAUCAAGCACUUGCAUUCCAGACAGUCACUUGGUACCUGAGACCCCCAGGCACAGGCUCCAGCACUCGGAUGGCCUCGAGGACGCUGCAGAUAGAAAACCGAGCUCCAGGACGAUGUUACACGUGCGGCCUUCGUAAGUGGACAGCAGUGCGGAAGGAGCUCAGAGGACGGCAUCACUAGAGCGGGUGCCCUGGAGAGAUCUCUGCGGGAGGUGCCCUUGGAACUUCUGCCCGCAGGAAACACCCAUCCGUGGCUGUACCUGGCUGGCCUCCCCAUCGCUCGCCUUGCAUCUGUUCUCUCCAUGGCAUUAUUCGUGCCAUCCCUUUCUUAGAGCCCGUGUCUCAUCUCACCUUAGGCAGUGCGCCUCCCUUUCAUCUUCUCUGUGUCAGUGGGCUAUUGGUGACCUUUGAGAGGCUUCAUGCCCCACCUUGAGCUUCCCGGGCGAGGCCUGUGCUGUGUUCUUGGGGAGGAAGUGGUCUCAGAGCUGCACCAGAAGGGCCGGUUGGAAAUGGUAACAUUCAGGGGUGUCAGUGACAGAGGGGAGCAGUGGUGGACACCGGGAGGCCGUCCAGGAGGAAGCAUGCUCCAAGAGCUGUGAGGGACAUGGGCACAAGGAAGGAUGAAGCCAGGGGGCUGUGGGUGAGGGUCCUGCUGUGAGGCCGCACGUCUGGCUGAAGUUCGUGCCUACUGGGGCCCCACAGACCGCAGUCCAUCCUAGCCUGCUCAGCGGCCCUAACACAGUGCUGUAGAACAGGCAGAGGCUCACCCGACAGGAUUUGUUCAUCGCCGAUCUGGGGGCCGGAAGCCCUGGGUCAGGACGUGGCACAGUGGGCGCCGGGCAGAGCCCCCUCCUCGCUUGCCGAUGGCCAACUUCUCCCUGUGUGGAGAGAAGCCACAAGUCUCUGGCGUCCCUUCUGAGAGUGCUAAUCCCACCGUGAGGCCCAUCCUCAGGACCUCAGCUGGGCCUGAGCCCCGACGGCCCCGUCGCAGCCACCACCACGGGGAGGGCUAGGACUCCCGCAGGUGAACUCAGGGGGCCAGAACUCAGCCAGCAGCACAGUCCACAGCCAUCGGGGUAAAGGACUAACGGCACAAAUAUCACCUUUCUAGUCAUCAACUCUGGGGAGGAGGGAGGCCCACAGGCUUGAAGACGAGGAGGAAGUUGGGGACUGUCCACAGUGUACAACACGGAGCCCGGAGAAGCCGGGAGCCAUGACGGGUCACGUGGUGAAUUAACCGGAGUCCAGAAUCUGACCCUCAGCCCUGCGGGCUCAGGGACUGUCCCUUCCGGGACCCAGAACUGAUGCAACCAUGACGCCAAUGGACUAGUUUCUAAGAAGAGUCACCGUCGCCAAGUGGAUUGGAAAAGCAUAUGAGCCUCGUGGAUGAACUCCCUCCUGCGUUGUUCAGGGAGCAAGAGGUCUGAGCAGGGUGCUCUCCUGGGCUCGUUCCUCGGGUGUGUUGAAGGUCAGGAAUCCAGGAGCAGCUUAGCUGGAUGGUUCUGACUCAGGGUCUCUCAUGAGGUGGCACCCAAGGUGUCAACUGAAGCUACAGUUAUCUGAAGUCUCGACCAGAGCAGAAGCAUCCAGUUCCAAGGUCACUGUUGUGAUUGUCAGACUCCAGGACCUUGUAAGCUGAGGAACCCAGUGGCCACGUGGGCCUCCUCGUAGGGCUGCUCACGCACGCAGGCAGCUUGCUUUCCCCUGGAUGAGUGACCCAAGAGACGGAGAAAGACGUACCCAAGAGAGAAGCCAUGGUCUUUUUAUAACCUAACCUUGGAGGUGACCUUUCAUUGCUUUGUGUCGUAUUUGUUAGAAGCAAGUUGCCAGUGCCAGCUCACACUCAAAGGAAGAGCAUUAUGCAUGGGCACGUAUGUAAAGGAGCUGAGAUCGUGGGGUGUGAGGUCGUCCUAAAGGCCGCCCACCUCAAUGUGUAAAUACAGCCAUUUGCUCAACAGUUCUCUUCGCCAUUACUUCUCAGCCUAUCAAUUAAUAAUCCUUCCAGUGAAGGUCUAUGGAUGGAAAAUACUCUGCCUUUGCCAUAAAAUGUCUUUAUUUUGUACUCAUUCUUGAAUGAUAAAUGAUCUAACUUGAUUUAUGUUGAGAGUCCUUCCUUAGUCCAUUGAAUAUUAAAUUCCAUUAUUUUUGGCUUCUAUUGUAGCUGACAAUAAAUCGGCUGUUACCUCA